rnacentral:rRNA from 1 species
UACGAAGGGUGCAAGCGUUAAUCGGAAUUACUGGCGUAAAGCGUGCGUAGGCGGUGAGUUAAGUCUGUUGUGAAAUCCCCGGGCUCAACCCUGGGAAUGGCAAUGGAUACUGGCUCGCUAGAGUGUGAUAGAGGAUGGUGGAAUUCCCGGUGUAGCGGUGAAAUGCGUAGAGAUCGGGAGGAACAUCAGUGGCGAAGGCGGCCAUCUGGAUCAACACUGACGCUGAGGCACGAAAGCGUGGGGAGCAAACAGGGA